rnacentral:rRNA from 1 species
UACAGAGACUGCAAGCGUUAUUCGGAUUCACUGGGCGUAAAGGGUGCGCAGGCGGUCGGGUGUGUCAGAUGUGAAAUCCCGAGGCUCAACCUCGGAACUGCGUCUGAAACUACUCGACUAGAGUACUGGAGAGGGUAACGGAAUUCACGGUGUAGCAGUGAAAUGCGUAGAUAUCGAUGAGGAACACCAGAGGCGAAGGCGGUUACCUGGACAGUUACUGACGCUCAGGCACGAAAGCAUGGGGAGCAAAAGGG